CCCACGUGGUCGCCCUUCCGAUGGCGCACACCUAACAAAGACCUAAUGUGGCCUUAAUGUCUAAAAGAGACCGAGUUCGGCCCUACACGAUCUGUGUCUCUGAGGCGUCCGGAUGGCUGCGAGUGUAUAGAUCUGUGUGUGUGUGUGUGUGUGUGUGUGUGUGUGUGUGUGUGUGUGUGUGUGUGUGUGUGUGUGUGUGUGUGUGUGUGUAGCCUAUGUGCGUAAUGGCGCGGUGGUGGAGUUAGUCUCCAGAUGUACGUCUACACGGGAAUAUGUGUAUGUGUCUGUUAGUCAAAGGGGAAGAAAAGAGGAUAAAAGAGGAGCAGAGAGAAACGCAUGCCUGAAGAGGCCGGAUCACAGUCCGAAUCCCGCACCACAACUCGGAGUAAUUCCCUUCAUUCACAGAAACAAACCAAUGGCCGAAUUCAAGUUAAUACGGUUUACACUGGCCUUUCUGAUCAGAAGAGUAAUACCCGGUUAUAACGCUGUUACGCUAAACACAUAUAGGACGCAGCAGUCCGAAACGGGAACAACAAGAGUUUUAAACAGGUAAAACUCAGGACGCAGCGGUCCAACAAAGAUAAACAUUACAGUUUCUGCAUCAAUCAAACAAUUGUUAAAAACACUCUCUAAAGCUAAUUCUGCCCAGACCUAAUUAAGCCUCACUUGUGAAUCGCUUUGCCCGCGAUUGGUGAAGGAAAAAGGAGUCCGGCGAUAAAACAGAUCUUCUGUCCGUCCAGGUGCAGAGGAGUUUUAUGGCGGUGAGGGUCCCUUACGGCAAGAGCGGCUUCGUUGGUUCUCCGUCGAGUGGAAAGAUGUCCGUUGAUGACCUUUCGUUGCAGGACGGAAUAAGAUCGUUAUCUUUCUGAUAAUCUGUUAUAGUCUGACGCUCUCCGAGAAACUGAGAUGCGUUCACUGGACAAUCCGAGCUCGGAAUUUAGAACACUGCCGGCCGCGGAUUACCUGCGCGCCAAAA